CCUACGGGAGGCAGCAGUGGGGAAUAUUGGACAAUGGGCGAAAGCCUGAUCCAGCAAUGCCGCGUGAGUGAUGAAGGCCUUCGGGUCGUAAAGCUCUUUUACCAGGGAUGAUAAUGACAGUACCUGGAGAAUAAGCUCCGGCUAACUCCGUGCCAGCAGCCGCGGUAAUACGGAGGGAGCUAGCGUUGUUCGGAAUUACUGGGCGUAAAGAGUACGUAGGCGGUUAUUCAAGUCAGAGGUGAAAGCCCGGGGCUCAACCCCGGAACUGCCUUUGAAACUAGAUAACUAGAGUCUUGGAGAGGUUAGUGGAAUUCCGAGUGUAGAGGUGAAAUUCGUAGAUAUUCGGAAGAACACCAGUGGCGAAGGCGACUAACUGGACAAGUACUGACGCUGAGGUACGAAAGCGUGGGGAGCAAACAGGAUUAGAUACCCUGGUAGUCCACGCCGUAAACGAUGAUAACUAGUUGUUCGGUCACUUGGUGACUGAGUGACGCAGCUAACGCAUUAAGUUAUCCGCCUGGGGAUACGGUCGCAGNUUAAAACUCAAAGGAAUUGACGG
rnacentral:rRNA from 1 species